UCCUAUGAUCCAUUAGUGAUGAUGCUACUCUACGACAAGGAGACCCUGGAGUAUGAAGAUAUGGUCUCGAUGCUGCGAUCCAAUGAAUAGUGGGAGAAGUUGAUCAAGGAAGGUGCUCCCCAAGAGGGCUUAGCCAUGGGAGAGAGAUCAAGAAGAGGAAGGGAAAGAGGCAAGUCAAGGGGACAGUCAAAGUCUCGAAAGAGCAGG
rnacentral:lncRNA from 1 species